GAGAAGAAUGGGGCCUGAGGUCAGAGAGAUGGAGAAGCAGCCUGCACCAAUAGCUUGAGAGACCCCAGAGUGAGUCUGUGGAGGGCUGGAUGGGACUGGGCACCAGUCUGUGAGGAGCGGAGGAGGAGAGCUUUGAGAUCAUCUCAGCCAGUUCUUCAUUGUACGGCUAGGAGGAAGAGGCUAGACAGGUUCAGUGACUUGCCCCGGGGAUGACCCAUUCAUUAUGCAGCUUUGCUGAGCCCCAUCACCAAUCUCUUGCCAAUGGGGACUUUCUGGGGCUUAUGGAUUGCUCAGCUAAAAGCAGAAUCAAGAGUAGAACCUGCCUUGUGUUCCUCACAGGUUCAACGAGAGGCAGCCCCUUCACACGGGUGUGCGAGAGCCUCCCCUGUCAAAUGCUCCAGAGAGCACAGUGAGAAACUCCUCUUAGAUUCAAAAAGGCUCUAUUGUAUUGGCAGAUCAAAUUCAAAAGCCAGGAGGAAGAAGAGGAAUCAACUAGAGGGAGAAGAUUUCACUCCUUAAGAGAGUAUAAACCUCCAGUGGACCCAGCCAUGAGAAUCAGUUCACUCUUUCUUCAUUCUGUGUCUGCUUUUGAAGUGGCCAGAGAAGAGCUAGGAAGAAACUGAUUCUCUGGGCUACAGUGUCACUGCUGUCACUUUAAGAAGCAGAACUCCAGCCACAGGCCCACGGAGCUCACCUGCAGGUACCUACCAAGCCCUGUCCUAGUGGAAGGAGGCAGUCUAGCUCCUCCACUUCAGAUACCACCAUUUGGAGUCAAAUGAGGUCUGGCUGCAGCUUUUACCCCUUCCCUACCCAAGUAAAGGAUUUGCCAAGUACACUAAUCAUGUAAACAAGAUGGCUGAAGAGCAUUUAAACUAUUUAAGAGGAUAAAAGUUUUUGUAACCAUCUUUUGUUUUCCAAAGAAUGCAUUUGCUAAUAAAUACUUAAAGUCUUUUCUCUUUCCUUUACCCUUCCAACCAUGGCUUUUCCUAGGC